rnacentral:rRNA from 1 species
UGGCUCAGAUUGAACGCUGGCGGCAGGCCUAACACAUGCAAGUCGAGCGGUAACAGAAAGUAGCUUGCUACUUUGCUGACGAGCGGCGGACGGGUGAGUAAUGCUUGGGAACAUGCCUUGAGGUGGGGGACAACAGUUGGAAACGACUGCUAAUACCGCAUAAUGUCUACGGACCAAAGGGGGCUUCGGCUCUCGCCUUUAGAUUGGCCCAAGUGGGAUUAGCUAGUUGGUGAGGUAAUGGCUCACCAAGGCAACGAUCCCUAGCUGGUUUGAGAGGAUGAUCAGCCACACUGGGACUGAGACACGGCCCAGACUCCUACGGGAGGCAGCAGUGGGGAAUAUUGCACAAUGGGCGCAAGCCUGAUGCAGCCAUGCCGCGUGUGUGAAGAAGGCCUUCGGGUUGUAAAGCACUUUCAGUCAGGAGGAAAGGUUAGUAGUUAAUACCUGCUAGCUGUGACGU